AAAGUGGAGCAAUCCAUGAGUAAAGUGGCGCUACGGGUGAGUAACACGCUGGAUCAUCUACCUCUUGGUGGGGAAUAACGCUGGGAAACCGGCGCUAAUACCGCAUAAGCCUGAAAAGGGAAAGCAGCAAUGCGCCGAGAGAGGAGUCCGCGGCCGAUUAGCUAGUUGGUAGGGUAAUGGCCUACCAAGGCAAUGAUCGGUAGCCGGCCUGAGAGGGCACACGGCCACACUGGCACUGAAACACGGGCCAGACUCCUACGGGAGGCAGCAGUGGGGAAUCUUGCACAAUGGGGGCAACCCUGAUGCAGCGACGCCGCGUGAGUGAUGAAGCCCUUCGGGGUGUAAAGCUCUUUCGGCAGGAACGAUAAUGACGGUACCUGAAGAAGAAGCUGCGGCUAACUACGUGCCAGCAGCCGCGGUAAUACGUAGGCAGCAAGCGUUGUUCGGAGUUACUGGGCGUAAAGAGUGUGUAGGCGGUUCUCUAAGUUCCGUGUGAAAUCUCCCGGCUCAACUGGGAGGGUGCGCGGAAAACUGGAGGGCUUGAGUAUGGGAGAGGAAAGCGGAAUUCCUGGUGUAGCGGUGAAAUGCGUAGAUAUCAGGAGGAACACCUGCGGUGUAGACGGCUUUCUGGACCAUCACUGACGCUGAGACACGAAAGCGUGGGUAGCAAACAGGAUUAGAUACCCUGGUAGUCCACGCCCUAAACGAUGCAUACUUGGUGUGAGCCGUUCAUUCGGUUCGUGCCGGAGCUAACGCGUUAAGUAUGCCGCCUGGGGAGUACGGUCGCAAGGCUGAAACUC
rnacentral:rRNA from 1 species